CCUACGGGAGGCAGCAGUGGGGAAUAUUGCACAAUGGGGGAAACCCUGAUGCAGCGACGCCGCGUGAGUGAAGAAGUAUUUCGGUAUGUAAAGCUCUAUCAGCAGGGAAGUAAAUGACGGUACCUGAGUAAGAAGCCCCGGCUAACUACGUGCCAGCAGCCGCGGUAAUACGGAGGGGGCAAGCGUUAUCCGGAUUUACUGGGUGUAAAGGGAGCGUAGACGGCAGCACAAGUCUGGAGUGAAAUGCCGGGGCUUAACCCCGGAACUGCAUUGGAAACUGUGCAGCUAGAGUGCAGGAGAGGUAGGCGGAAUUCGUGGUGUAGCGGUGAAAUGCGUAGAUAUUAGGAGGAACACCAGUGGCGAAGGCGGCUUACUGAACUGUAACUGACGUUGAGGCUCGAAAGCGUGGGGAGCAAACAGGAUUAGAUACCCGUGUAGUC
rnacentral:rRNA from 1 species